AGCAAGUAAACAGGACUCAACAGGAGAGUCGAAUUUCCACGCGGACUUUUGCUCCCACUCUCAUUCUCUCUCUCGCUAUCCGUUCGAGAUAAUCACGCGUUAGCGGCGCGAAGGAUGAGGAAAAACCUUUCGUCCUUGUGUAGUUAGCAUGUGUGUGGGUCGCUGUAUUGGUGUCACCUUCCGGAGAGAAUGAAAACGAGUCCUCGCGUGCUACGAACACAGUAAUCGAGACAUGCAUUCGUUUGCGUCACUUACUCUCGCGAGCGAGCGAGAGAGACGAAUCUUAAUUUGCAUAUAUUUCUAUAUACGAAAAUAAUUUUUCCUUUUAAUAUUUCAUUCGGUGAUAACUUCAUUCUGGUGUGAAAUAAUUGCUUCGUAACUUUUUACAUCAUUAUGCUGUCUACUUUGUUUAUGCAUGCAUACGCGAAUCAGGCAGCGAGCACAGCGGAGCCUUUUUUGGGCCGCUCCGUGCUGCUUGCGAGCUGCCGUAAGCCUGCAUGGGAUCAACAGCAGCCGCAGCAGUAACAGCAAGGGGCAAAAGUUUGGCACGAUGCCGUGAAGUGAUGAUUAGUCAAGAAAAGGUGUAUUUGACGCUGGUGAACAAUCCUGCGUUCUUUGGGCGGGUGUUCAGGAACAAGUGAAACAAUCCGUGUGUGUAGUAACAUCAUGUAACAGUGUCGGUAACAAUAACAACACCAUCCCAGACGUUGAUCCGGAUGUGUAGUGCAUUGUGGUGAACUUUCGCGGGCAGCUCCUUGACCGCUUCUCCGGGGUCAGCUGCGGAGGUUGUUGUUUAUUUCGGAAUUGUGUCCACGCGAGGGUUGACGGGUGUUCAAAUCUAAACUGGCUGGCUGGCUAGCGGGCUCGUGAUGAUGGUGUGGUAGUGGUGGUAACGUCUGAAGGGGCUGUGCGUGUGCAAAGGAAAAGCCGACCCCUCUCUGCACUGUUGUUUACCAGCAGUCAGUCAGUCAAGAGCGAACCAAACAAAAAUAAAAGAAAAAUAACAGCCUGGUGGACAAACCAGAUAGCAGUGGAAGAGCAAGAAAGGAUUGACCAAAACAAACUUCGCCCGCAACAUUUGGACGCACCCGUCUCCAUACCGUCUCCAGACCGUUUCUUCAUAUCGGAAAUAGCAACUAUAGCGGCAGCCGAAAAAGCAUAACAACAACACACAACCGGUCACCUGGCUGGCUGGUUGGCUGACUCGGGAAAAGCGGAAAAGUGACGACCACGAAAAAUGAUGAUACGAAAAAAUGGUUUGCCAAUAUUUAUGUUUGGCUUUUUGGUUCCACUGUACGAUCGCAACAAUUCAAGCUAGCAGGGUGGAUACACACGAUUUUAAUUCAAUGCUGAGCCACAAUGUUUAGCGGCGGUACUGCAGAGUGAUUCACCGAUACAGUAAUUUAGCAGCACAAGGCAUAACUUUCGGAAGAGGAUUUGGUUUCUCCAAGAAAACAGCUUUCCAUACAAUUAUUUUUGGUUCGCCACAAUACACCGCCAAAACGGCAACAAGCGCAAAAAUGAAACGAAGAGUUGACAGUUGGAUCGCAGAUGUCACCCAACCAUUGACACUGCUAACAAAAGCUGAUGCAUGCACUCACCACCAUUACCACCAACAGCUGAGAAGAGCACGAAUACGGAAAAAGGAGUUCCAACACCGAAUGUAACAUACGGAUGGCGGAAAUGAUGAAGCCGAAUACUAAAUAAAACGGGAAAACGGGCUGCAAAAAGCAGCUGAAAACAGCGGGAGAAGAUGAAAAUGCAACAAUUAAGUUCCUACUCUAAAACAUAGAUAAAAAUAUACGUUAUAAACGAGAGUGUAAUGUAAUUGUAAUCAUAAGUCGAUAUGACACGGAAGUCGCCGGUAUCGCUCACAGGAUUGCUUCCGGCCACCUCGAUCCUGUUGGGUAGUGAAACUGUAAAGAUAAGAAACUGAUUCGUUCCCUGGUGAUGGUUUGGUUCGCGGUGGUAGCGAGAUGUAACUUAAUUCGACCGAUCAGUUGAUCACGAUCCGUACCAUCCGGGACUUGGAUAAUUCUGACAACACUGCCUGAGAGUGGUUCUUUGCAGCGGCAUUCAACGGAGAAUCGCCGUUCAGUAUGCAAUAGAGCAAACCAGCAGUGCUGCCAGCAUUACCAGUGUCCAGUGGAGGGUCACUUUCCACGGAAAGGUUUGGAUUAUUUUUCGUAUCGCUUCCGCGGCGGCCGCGUCCCAAGGACGCCAGUUUUGCACCUCGCUUGCUCCCACUAACGAGACCGGACUGUGCGGUGGACCGAGCUUCCGUUUAUUAUACUUGUAAAAUUCAUUGAUUGAAGGAAAAGCAAAAUUGUAUAACUUGCCGACACAGAACAUAAAGCUACUGUAUUUUAACGUAAGGAGAAGACACUAACUUUUGUAUAGUAUGGAUUCGGAUGAAUUCGUAAGGGCAAUGUGUAAUUCAGUUUAUUUUUAUACUAUUGGAGAAGCUUUUGGGAGGACAUUUAGUGCCAGGGUGUGGCCGAUGAUGAUACUGAUCCUAGACAAGGGCCACAAUUUACGAGUUUGUGGUGCCGAAUUGUAAAGAGCAUAAUAAUAUUAUAUUUAGGGUGAAAUACAUCACACUUAACACUAACUGAUUAUACUUAAUGUAGUUGGCUUAAAGCUUUAUUUAAAGAAAAAUACAGAAAACACAAAAAAUAAUAAAAAAAACAAAAACACAAAAAAAUACAAGAGUGCAUAGAUGGAAGUUAUUCAGUUUAGUUUAGCGAGAAAACUCAAUCGCUUAGUGUACUUUUCAAUGUGCAAUGUUUAUAUAAGGAAAGAUUGUUGGUAAAAGAAAUUUGCGAGGUAUCAACAAAAAAUGAGAGCAAAACUCAAGUACUUUUCCUGAAGUCGACAGGGAAAGGAUUUCUAGUUUUGUGUCAAGUUGAAAAAAGAUCUACUAACGACAUUUGAAGGCGGCAGAAAGCGUAUGAUAAAUAAAAAGUUCCUAAAAGUCGAACCCCAAAUAAUCCGAUGGGUUAGGGGCGGCUAAACAAUUAAUCUUAGUGUUAUAGGUUUAAACCCGUAGUUGAUUCCGAAGGCGUCGAACUCACCAAGAUCUCGCAGAACACAUUCUUCGGAAGAAACGCGACCACACCUUGGAUCUGGGAAUCCUCCCGAAAACUUUUUUCUGCGUUUUUGUUUCUAACAGCUUUUUGAAAGGACAGACAUUCCAAAAUCGCACUCGCAAACAAGAGAAGAACAAUCAUUUUGGAGACACAUGAGGAAAUAUAGAUUGGCAAGAUUCGGCAAAUUUAUUGUUAGAUUCAAUCAUUUUGGAUCAUUGAUAAAAAAAAUGGAAAAACGAAGUACUCGCGUAAACUACAAUAAUAGUGUUUAGAAAAAUCCAGAUGAAAAAAAAGAGAGCGUUUGAACAAAUCCAAAACAAAUUUUGUUCCUACAAAAAAAAUUGAGAGGAAAAUUGAGAGAAAUAACGAAAAGACUCGACAUAUCAUGAAUGUUUAAUUUUGUCCUCGCAAUUUUUUAAAGAAAGACGCAUGAUUGCGCCAUUUUAAGGUCACUCAAUAUUACAACUAUCUCACUAUUACUCAUAAUAGAAGCAAACACAAAUGGUAUAUUCAUAUAUCUACUCGAUGUUCCAGCUAGUGUCCACCCAAUGUCCCCUUAACAAUUUGCCACGCAUGACUGAUACAGACAAGAAUUGCCCGAAAGAUGUGCAAUGAUCCUUUUUUUACGGCGGCAAACUCUCCUACGUGACACGGUUUUGUUUCCUAACCUAGUUGUUUCCUCACAGAAAAACCUGCAAACACUACUACAAAGUUCCUGUUGGCUCUGAGGGCGAAGAGCCGGCUAAGUUUCCUAACAAUUUUGUUGAUUUUUAUCUGUUUUAUUUUUCCCGAGAAUAGCCAAAGUAUCAGAGAGUUCAAUUCCGGAAGUUAACGAAAUGUACGAAAAGAUGUCAUUUCUGGGUAAUUCUCUUAACAGUGACCGUUCUCAAAAUUUGAAAACAAAAAAGCCAGAAGCUUGUGUAGCUCGAUAUCAUCAUACCGAAGUUUCGGUAAUGUCGUUGGUGAUUUUGACCGAACACGGCCAAGUUUUGUGUUGUCAAACUAACACAAUCAAACUAAACAAAUAAAAGUUCCUAAGAAAGUUCGAUGAAUCGUUCUAUUUUUUUUUUCGUUUGAUAUAAGCGGUUUCUGUUCAAGCAUGUUUCAAUUUGGUUUCGACCUAUUAAGUUUAAUAACAAAAAAUGUUUGUGAAAAUUUCCAGUCCUACUACAACGUUGAUCGAGAGUGAUUGUUUUUACGCAUAUAGUAACAACUAUAGAGUCACUAACACACGAACAGGAGAACAAGUGUUUGAAGAAAAAGAAAAAACUUCGGAAAGAAAAUUUAACAUGAUAUGAUAUGCAUACUAUUUUAAAUACUCAUUACUAUCAUAUUAAUGAUUAAUAGCUGACAGUGAAUAAACUGUAAAGAUAUACUGUUGAGAAGUUCGAUUUCCAGUCUAGUAGAAUGGUGGAAAUAAAAUGGCGAAGAGGAAGAAAAAAACAACAAACGGAACAAUAUCAGCUUCGAGCUGUAAAAAUGAGAGUGCGCAAAAUCCUUCAGCAUAAAAGGCAUGCUACACAAGAAGUGAGCAACAGUACUUAAACACAACAGUCACACACACACAACUAUUAUUAUAAUAAUUAAAGAUUAUUACAAGAUUAAUGAAAGGAAAAAAAACAAUUGUAAAAGAUAUAUUGUCAGAUGUAAAAGUAAAUGAAAAUAAAUAAAAAUAAAAACUUAUUUGGUAGU